CUCGGUCACAGAAUGCUUUUUCCCUAAAAUGAACACUGGGGUUAUAGAUAUGGUCUAUUAUACAGAGUAUUGUUGUACUGCUAAGAGUGCUCCAAUGUUCUUGUUGACAGACUGAAACCACUUGCUUGCAGUUCAUAAGGCUUACUUCUUGAGAGCAGGCAGCUACAAAAUGGAAGGUCAACAAAACCAGUAUACUUAAAAAGCAAGAAAGAAACACCAGAAAAUAUGAAAAGACAGAAGAACUAGGGAACUUGAAUAAAAAAAUAUUAAAGAUAGGAAUUCAGGAUAUACUUGGAAACUAAAUUUAUUUUGAGGACAGGAGUGAUUGACUAAGCUUUGUUACUUUAAGAGAUAAAGUACUAUUAUCACAUUAGUUUUGUUAUGCUCAUAAAACAUACUAAAGUUUCAUUAAUCUUAUUUUAGAUAAUUGUUUUCUGGUUUAUUUUACAAAGGUUGUCUACUAAUUAACAUAGUUAUAUUUAAGUAAUAUUUUCCAUGAAAUUUUAAAGAGAAUGUUUUGUUAUACCCCCACAAAACAAAGUUUUAGUGGUAGUAAGUUUGUCUGUCUUUCAGUCCGUUGGUUUUCAUGGUUUCCGGAUGAUAACUCAUGAAAAGCUUGACCGAUUUAAAUAUUUUUUGGUACACAGGUGUAACAUCAGAAAAUACAGGUCAGGUUCGACUUUGGGGUCAGUAGGUCAAAGGUCAAGGUCACAGUGACCCUGAACAGUUAAACGGUUUCCGGAUGAUAACUUGAGAACGCUUUGGCCUAGGAUCAUAGCUUUUGUAAGAAAGGUGUAUCGUGAUAAAAUACAGGUCGUUUGACUUUGAGGUCAGUAGAUCAAAGGUCAAGGUCACAGUGAUCCUGAACAGUUGAACCGUUUCCGGAUGAUAACUUGAGACCUUGAGCCUAGGAUGAUAAAGUUUGGUACACAGGUGUAAUAUCAUGAAAUACAGGUCAAGUUCGACUUUGAGGUUAGACAGUCAAAGGUCAAGGUCACAAUAACGCAAAACAGUGAAACAGUUUUUGGAUAAUCGAUUAUAACUUGAGAAUGCUUGAGCCUAGGAUCAUGAAAAUUGUUAGGGAGGUUGAUUAUGACCAGCAGGUGACCCCUUUUAAUGUUUAGGUCACAGGUCAAGGUCACACUGACCUGGUUCUUUAAAACGGUUUCCGGACAGUAACUUCAGAAUGCUUGGGACGAGGAUCACAAAAUUUAGUACAAGGUUGGUCUUGACCAGCAGAUGACCCGUAUUGAUUUUGAGUUCCAAAGGUCAGGAUGACCCGAAACAUUUAAACAUUUCCCAUACAACAACUUUAGAACACUUGGGCGGAGGAUCAUGAAACUUCAUAUGGAGAUUGAUCUGGACCAGCAGAUGAUCUGUAUUGAAUUUGAUGUCAGUAGGUCAAAGCUGAAGAAAGUGCUGCUUUGUCAUUGGCUUAGUUCUGUGAUAAGGCCAUAUUGUGGGGGUAUAAUUCGUUACUCCUGUGACAACUCUAGUUUUUUAUUUGUUUUUGUUGCAAGAGAAAUGGUACAUUGUACAAUACAGAUUAAAGCAAGUCACAUUUUCUUUAUUUUGAUAAUACUUAUUUCAAGCCUGACAAAGCAUCCAGUACUGUUAGUAAAAGUUGUUAUUCACAGUUCAGCUAGCUUUAUUUCAUGUAUGGAUAAAACAAAUUAUGUGAUCUGUGAUCAUCAUAAAUGUGUAUAUAGAUAAAACUUAAACAUGUGGACAGUUUAUUCAAUAAAUAAAGUGUGGUGCAA